UACGGGGGGGGCAAGCGUUGUUCGGAAUUACUGGGCGUAAAGGGCUCGUAGGCGGCCUGCUAAGUCGAACGUGAAAUCCCCGAGCUCAACUCGGGAACUGCGUCCGAUACUGGCAGGCUUGAAUCCGGGAGAGGGAUGCGGAAUUCCAGGUGUAGCGGUGAAAUGCGUAGAUAUCUGGAGGAACACCGGUGGCGAAGGCGGCAUCCUGGACCGGCAUUGACGCUGAGGCGCGAAAGCCAGGGGAGCAAACGGG
rnacentral:rRNA from 1 species